CAGCAGCCGCGGUAAUACGUAGGGUGCAAGCGUUAAUCGGAAUUACUGGGCGUAAAGCGUGCGCAGGCGGUUUGUUAAGACAGAUGUGAAAUCCCCGGGCUCAACCUGGGAACUGCAUUUGUGACUGGCAAGCUAGAGUCUGGCAGAGGGGGGUGGAAUUCCGCGUGUAGCAGUGAAAUGCGUAGAUAUGCGGAGGAACACCGAUGGCGAAGGCAGCCCCCUGGGCCAACACUGACGCUCAUGCACGAAAGCGUGGGGAGCAAACAGGAUUAGAGACCCCAGUAGUCCCUGUCUCUUAUAA
rnacentral:rRNA from 1 species